CCAAAGUUAGUGGCAAACGGGUGAGUAAUACAUAUCUAACAUGCCCCUCUGUGGGGGAUAGCCGCUUGAAAAAGCGAUUAAUACCCCAUAGGAAGCUUUAUCCAUGAUUUAGCUUUUAAAGCCUUCGGGCGCUGAGGGAUUGGGAUAUGCUCUAUUAGCUAGUUGGCGGGAUAAAAGCCCACCAAGGCAAUGAUAGAUAGCUGGUCUUAGAGGAUGAACAGCCACAAUGGGAUUGAGAUACGGCCCAUAUUCCUACGGGAAGCAGCAGUAGGGAAUCUUCCACAAUGGACGAAAGUCUGAUGGAGCAAUACCAUGUGAACGAUGAAGGCCUUUUUGGUUGUAAAGUUCUUUUACGAGGGAUAAUUAUGAUAGUACUUCGUGAAUAAGUGACAGCAAACUAUGUGCCAGCAGCUGCGGUAAUACAUAGGUCGCGAGCAUUAUUCGGAUUUAUUGGGCGUAAAGCAAGCGCAGGCGGAUGUGUAAGUUCUGUGUUAAAUGCAGCUACUCAAUAGUUGUAUGCACCGAAUACUACAUGUCUAGAUUGUGGUAGGGAGUUUCGGAAUUAAGCAUGGAGCGGUGGAAUGUGUAGAUAUGCUUAAGAACACCAGAGGCGAAGGCGGAAACUUAGGCCAUAAAUGACGCUUAGGCUUGAAAGUGUGGGGAGCAAAUGGGAUUAGAUACCCCAGUAGUCCACACCGUAAACGAUGGGUAUUAGAUAUUAGGGCUUUAGCUUUAGUGUUGUAGCUUACGCGUUAAAUACCCCGCCUGGGUAGUACAUAUGCAAAUAUGAAACUCAAAGGAAUUGACGGGGACCUGAACAAGUGGUGGAGCAUGUUGCUUAAUUCGAUAAUACACGAAAAACCUUACCAAGGUUUGACAUCCCUCGCAAAGCUAUAGAAAUAUAGUAGAGGUUAUCGAGGUGACAGGUGGUGCAUGGCUGUCGUCAGCUCGUGUCUUGAGAUGUUUGGUUAAGUCCCGCAACGAGCGCAACCCCACUCUUUAGUUACUUGUCUAAAGAGACUGCACAGUAAUGUAGAGGAAGGAUGGGAUCACGUCAAGUCAUCAUGCCCCUUAUGCCUUGGGCUGCAAACGUGCUACAAUGGCGAACACAAUGUGUUGCAAACCAGCGAUGGUAAGCUAAUCACCAAAUUUCGUCUCAGUUCGGAUAGGAGG
rnacentral:rRNA from 1 species